GCCGGCUUAGCUCAAUUGGUAGAGCAACUGACUUGUAAUCAGUAGGUUGUCAGUUCAACUCCGACAGCCGGCA
rnacentral:tRNA from 1 species